rnacentral:rRNA from 1 species
AUUGAACGCUGGCGGCAUGCCUUACACAUGCAAGUCGAACGGCAGCAUGGAAGAGCUUGCUCUUCUGAUGGCGAGUGGCGAACGGGUGAGUAAAGCAUCGGAACGUACCGUGUAGUGGGGGAUAACGUAGCGAAAGUUACGCUAAUACCGCAUACGCACUGAGGUGGAAAGCAGGGGAUCGCAAGACCUUGCGCUAUACGAGCGGCCGAUGUCAGAUUAGCUAGUUGGUAGGGUAAAGGCCUACCAAGGCGACGGUCUGUAGCGGGUCUGAGAGGAUGAUCCGCCACACUGGGACUGAGACACGGCCCAGACUCCUACGGGAGGCAGCAGUGGGGAAUAUUGCACAAUGGGGGCAACCCUGAUCCAGCCAUGCCGCGUGAGUGAAGAAGGCCUUCGGGUUGUAAAGCUCUUUCGGCCGGGAAGAAAUCGCACGGGCUAAUACCCUGUGUGGAUGACGGUACCGGAAUAAGAAGCACCGGCUAACUACGUGCCAGCAGCCGCCGUAA